GUGGGUGUGGUUUGUCUAUGGGUGUGGCUUGUUGCUAAGAUAUGCGCAGUUCUUUUCAUCCUCCGUCAAGGUCUCAUGUUCUCGUUGCUAAAGGUUUAGGGGCCACAAUGUGGUGCUGGAUAUUUUGGAGAUUUAAACACGACUGGGGAGAUGUAUUUGGCCAUCAUGAUUCAAUAGAGCCACCACCUCUUGAUAAAUAGAAGAAGAACUGACUUUAGACCAUUACUAGCUUAUUAUUGUCAUUAAUUAUUAGUGAAUUAUUGUAUUUAAAAUCAAUUAUAAAA